AUACGGAGGGUGCAAGCGUUACUCGGAAUCACUGGGCGUAAAGCGCGCGCAGGCGGUCUUUUAAGUUGGAUGUGAAAGCCUACGGCUCAACCGUAGAACUGCAUCCAAAACUAUUAGACUAGAGUGUGGGAGAGGAAGAUGGAAUUAGUUGCGUAGGGGUAAAAUCCGUAGAGAUAACUAGGAAUACCAAAAGCGAAGGCAAUCUUCUGGAACACUACUGACGCUGAGGCGCGAAAGCGUGGGGAGCAAACAGGAUUAGAAACCCUAGUAGUCC
rnacentral:rRNA from 1 species